UAAGCGAACUAAGAAGCUGCUUAUGGCCCCGUGGCUACCAGAGGGCCCCCAAGAGCGCUUGAAAUGUCCCACAAUAGAGCUCAUAACAGAGCCCGUCUAUUUAAAGAUAGUGUUGCUGCUAAUAGGUCUCACAUUACUCUCUAAAUGCUUAUUUGUACAUUAUGAGUGCUUAAACUAAUAUUUACAAUACACAAGUUGGUUUAGUGCCAAGUGCAGUGGCAACAUGUUACAAUGUGGAGAGUCCCCAAACCAAAUCCUGCUUAGGGCCCCCAAAAGUCUAGGGCCGGCCCUGCACUGACUCUUUAAAGGAUGUGAUUGG